rnacentral:rRNA from 1 species
AGUGAACGCUGGCGGCGUGCCUAAUACAUGCAAGUCGAACGCGAAAGUCCUUCGGGAUGAGUAAAGUGGCGCACGGGUGAGUAAUACAUGGGAACAUGCCCUUGAAUGGGGAAUAACGUUUGGAAACGAACGCUAAUACCGCAUAAUCUCGCGAGAGUAAAGGUGGCGCCGCAAGGGCUACCGUUCAAGGAUUGGCCCAUGUCCCAUUAGCUAGUUGGCGGGUAAAGGCCCACCAAGGCAACGAUGGGGUAUGUGGUCUGAGAGGAUGAUCACACACACUGGAACUGAGACACGGUCCAGACUCCUACGGGUGGCUG